UUCGGUUUGAAGUCUUUUAUGACUGAGUGGCGGACGGGUGAGUAACGCGUGGGUAACCUGCCUCAUACAGGGGGAUAGCAGCUGGAAACGGCUGGUAAUACCGCAUAAGCGCACGGUAUCGCAUGAUACAGUGUGAAAAACUCCGGUGGUAUGAGAUGGACCCGCGUCUGAUUAGCUGGUUGGUGAGGUAACGGCCCACCAAGGCGACGAUCAGUAGCCGACCUGAGAGGGUGACCGGCCACAUUGGGACUGAGACACGGCCCAGACUCC
rnacentral:rRNA from 1 species